GCAUCUCCCUUACACUGAGAAGCCGUCCGUGCAAAUCGGACCACCCUGAUGCCCAACUGCUAGCCCAAUAACAUUAUUAAAGCACAAAUAUUUCUAAUGAUAAAUAAACCUAAAAAUUUUUAACAAACCAUUUUUUUACCCUAGUAAAGGCGAUAGAAAAGGACCCAGGAGCAAUAGAUAAAGUACCGCAAGGGAACGCUGAAAAAGAAAUGAAACAAAUCAAAUAAGCACAAUAUAGCAGAGACUACCCCUCGUACCUUUUGCAUCAUGAUUUAGCAAGUAAAGCCCAAGCAAAGUGACCUAUAGUUUGAGACCCCGAAACUAAGCGAGCUACUCCAAGACAGCCCAUUUGGGGCAAACCCGUCCCUGUGGCAAAAGGGUGGGAAGAGCUUUGAGUAGAGGCGAUAAACCUACCGAGCAUAGUUAUAGCUGGUUGUUUGAGAAAUGAAUAGAAGUUCAGCUCCCCGGCUUCCCAAUCCCUCUUAGUACCACUAAUAUUGGUCCCAGGAAACCGGAGAAGUUAAUUAAAGGAGGUACAGCUCCUUUUUAAUAGAAACACCUU
rnacentral:rRNA from 1 species